CCCAUUCAGUAGUCAUCUUAGGAAGGGUCAUAAUAAUUAGCAUACAUUUAAUAUUCGUAAAGCCUAAUACAAAUAUUCAACAUUACAGCAUCCUAGUUAAGUAUUAGUUUCCUCAUUUUACUUGUGGAGAAACAGACAUAGAGAAGUUAAUGUUUUGAUCCAGGAAAGCAAGCUGCCAUGAUACUUUGUUCUAUCUACUGAAGUCUCCAUCUGUCUACAGUGAUUGUCUCCCAAAAAACCUGAGAAUACAAAGUACCGAACGUGAGUCCCUAAAGAGUGAUAUGAGCCUGUGAGCUGACGUUACUACAUCAGAUGAGGAUAAAGCAUUGGUUACAUUUGACAAAGCCAAAACAGACGGUGGAAUUGUUGCUUGGAAUGGAGAAAUGUAGUGGCUUUGGACAACAGCUAGACCUGAACAUUGGCCUCUCACAGACUCUGGCACACAGCUGCACGGCACAUACCACAGUGACAAGCAAAGGGUGUGAAGCCUUUGAUGAGCUAAACUAUUCACGCCUAUCUUUAGCAUGUUAAUUAAACAGUCAUGCCCAUUAAUGUGAUUGAACUGAUUGAAAUGUGAAGCUUUGAAGGAACUGUCAUGUCAUAAAUCACUUGCAAAUUACUAAUCAUCACUUUAAUAACCAGUCAGACCUACUGACAUGGAUCACCUGUUCCUCUUUUCCAUGGUGCACUGGCAAUGGCAUAAUAUAUACUGGAGAACAUUUAACUGCAAAACAGCUGCUCAAUAUCAUGCUUACUGGGCCAGAUUUUCAGCUGGCCUUAACCUAGCUGUAACUAUGUGUAUGCAAAUUUUUCAAAUGCAGAUACUUGCAUGCUUAUUUGCUGUAUUUCUUUGCCUAAUAACAGAAUUUGCAAGCACAAAUAUAGCAACUGUGCAUGCAUAUUUGUGCAGAUGUGAUUAGGGACCAUGUUUUGAAAAAGUGUUGCACUGUGUCUACCAUAUUAAUAUUGACUAAAAGAACAAAAUUGUGUUCUCUCUCUCUCUCUCUAACUAGGUCUUAUAUGUCCCCCCACGUGAGCAUCCACCAAACAACAGAAAUUUCUCUCUCUCUUUUCUCCUUCCCAGCCUGGAGGAGAAAUUAUUUGAUUAAUAUAUAGGCUUAUUUGUUUGUUGAUACUUGCAAAAGCAGGUGUAGUAUUUGUAGAAUUUAUGGGUAUGUGUUUACUGCAGAGUUAACUCAGAUUAUCUACACUCAAGUUACUUCUCUCCAGUUAGCCUAGCUUGAGUGAGAGUCAAGCUGCUGUGUGCACACUAUCACUCACUUGUGUGUAUCAUACAGAGUAGUCAUGUGAGCAGCUGAUGAGUUGUGCUAACUUGAGCUUAGCCAUUCACCCUGGAUGGGCCAGUCAACUUUAGUUAAAGCAUCAAUGGUUUUUGUGUGUGGACAAGACUCAAGUUAUAACUCAAGUUAAUUUUGCAGUGAAACUAGUUCUUCCUCACAGAAUUGAAGUCAAAGAAAGGUGCUUUUGCAUUUAGAGUCCUAUGUUCAUUCCUAUUUCUUCUUUCAUAGUCUAGAUCCAGAUCCUUUGAAAAUUCUCCUCCACUCAUGAGCCUUCCCCUAUUGGUUGACAGUUUCAUGGUUCCAGUGGAACAUAGCUGUUGCGGGAUGUCAUGCUAAUGGCAGGAAUAGCAACCACUCAGGUAGUUAGGGCCAACCCUAUGGAAGGUUUUGAAUAUCACGACAGAAACACUGAACUGAACUCUGUAUUGAAUGGGGAGCCAGUGUAAAGAGCAGACCACCAGAGUGAUGAGUUCACAAUGAUCUAUGUUGUUAAGCAGAUGAGCUUUUAUGUUAUGUACCGUUUGGAACUGUAUACCCAGGAACGAAAUCUGUGGCUUCAUUCCUGGAUAUAAGGGCUCUAUCUCCCACUCCCAUGUGAACGUGUAUGGAAGAGAGGAAACUAACCAAUAAAUUAUGCAACUCUAAAACAGUCAUUGUGUGGAAGGCAUACUACCACUUUCACAGCAGGACCAGAAGCAGUAGGGCAGGGGCAGUCUGCAGCCUGAAAAAAGCUUUGAGAAGGGAUCCACUGGAAACCUUCACAUAUGCUCUUCAGUAUCUGACCAGAUGCCUGCAGAGACUCUCCCACUGUACUCCUCUAAAACAACCCAAGCACUGGUAACAUAGCUAGAGGCAGGGCCAUGCUGCUCUUAGCUUCCAGGACACAGCUGUGCUCUGUGACCCUCAGUGGGGGAAGGGUCACAGGGUGCAGCAAGGAACUUAAUGCUGUUCUAUACAGCAUGCAACUCUUUUAACAUGGUGUUUAUGCCACGUAGCCACAGGACUAUGGAGCAGCUAGCUAUGCCCUGACCUCACCCCAUGCUGCCUGGCCAAAGCCCUUUCCCUGUGUGUCCAGACUGCCAUGGAGGGCCUGAUACCAUUCAUGCAGAGGGCAGAGAGAGGGUGAAUCAUAUGGUGAGCCCUCCUUUCUGCUGCUCCACAUAGGGAAAUGGGUGUUGGUGCUAACAAGGGCUGUUGAUGUGGCAAAGUGAUGUGAGGGCAGUCAUUUGGAGCUACAGGGCUUGAUAAAAAAAACAUACAGUCUCAUUUUUAAGCCUCUUGUGUGACUUUGUACUUUUCUGAGCCUUUUCACAUGUGAAUUUUCUAAUGGAAGCCUUGUGUACUUGGAAAGCUUAUUCUGGUUACAAGUAUACAGGGUGACAGGUAAAUGAUUACUUUUCCUCUAUCACCACCUCUGAGCUGGGGAUUUUCCACUACAGUGUCAUUGCUUAGGGAAAGUUUUAAAAUGGCAGCAGAAUCUCAAACUGUCUGAUUCUAGUGCUGAUAUAGUGGUGCUUGAUUUGCUUGACUAAGGAAGCUGCUGGCAAAAAAAGCUACAGUUGGCAAUUUGCUUGUCUCCCUGCAUAUUUUGGCUCCAUAUCAAUGUUUUAAAGUUUUUUCCAGACGUGUGCAGAAUAAUCUGAACAGCUGUCAUGUGACCAAAUGUGAAUGUGAUGAGAACAUUUUACAUAUACAGUGUGAUGCCACAACUUAGUGUGAUAUGUUAUAAAUAACUAUCCGUGUUAAUGCUACUAAUAAAAACUAUAAUCUCAUUUAAGAAUAAGGAAGUAUUUGAUUCUUCAUUCACACUGUAUUAAUAUUUUAUCCUGAUAUAGGGAUCUGAUCCAGCAAACCCUUACAUGAAUAGUUCCAGCAUUAGGAUUGUAGGAAGGGCUACUGGCAUGAGUAAGUGGUUUCAGAGUUCAGCACCUAAUUAUCAUCAAAUAUAUAAUAUAUAUGAACUAUUAACAUCACAACCGGUCACUGGCCUCAGGAGCUGAUGCUCUCAUGAAAAGCUAAAUUGAUGUAACUUACACAUACUGCUUGCCUCACCAGUUCAUAAAUUACACCUAUUUAAACUUCCUUAGAUUCACUUCUAAACUUGGCCUUGUAAUCUCCAUACAGCUUGAAAUAAAACUGCAAAAGAGACUUGUGCCUCUGUUUUUUGUUUACUGUUACAGAAAGAUAACAUUAGUGACAGUAAGAGAAAGUAAAGAAACCUAACAGUUUUCAUUAACUGAAAACUUCAGUAUAUGAAGAAGAAUCAUUGUCAUGAGAAAAUGUGUGUUGAAUCAUUGAAGGAUAUACCAGACUGCAUCUCUUUAAAUCCAUGAUAUUUCAGUUAUAAGUUUUCAAACCAAGUAGUUUUCCUAUAUGUUCCACUUACUUUCUACUGCAAGGUGCAGGGAAGACUGAAAUGGUAUGCAGUGUUCAUUUAUCUGUCUAUGUUUUCAAAAGAACAUUUCUCAAAGGCAUUGCAGGAGCUUCAGCUUCAGUGUUGCUCCAUUGGAGUCAAUUUACACUAGCUGAUGAUCUGCACAUGAUGUAUAAUACACAGGCAACUUUGCAGGUGUGGAAAAUUUGCUUAAUUUUCUUAGGGCCAUGUCUUGCCAGCAUGUCACAUGUGGAACUCCCACAAAAGCUAAUGGGAUUUCUGCAUAACAACUGAUAGCAAGAUAGAACCCAAAAUUUGUAAUAACUAUGAAAGAAUUUUAAAGGUAGUAAUAAAUAUCUAUAUAUGUUUUUGCACAUUUUAUUUACAUAGAUCUAUUGUGCAUUUAUUUUCUACUUAGAUUUUUAAAGAUCACAUUUUUAUUUGUUCAUUUUCUGACAGUCUUCUGUUUUUAAUUUUUUAUUAUAAUUUUUUUUAAUUAGCACUCAGUCGGUGU